GAUGAACGCUGGCGGCGUGCCUAAUACAUGCAAGUCGAGCGAACAGACGAGGAGCUUGCUCCUCUGACGUUAGCGGCGGACGGGUGAGUAACACGUGGAUAACCUACCUAUAAGACUGGGAUAACUUCGGGAAACCGGAGCUAAUACCGGAUAAUAUAUUGAACCGCAUGGUUCAAUAGUGAAAGACGGUUUUGCUGUCACUUAUAGAUGGAUCCGCGCCGCAUUAGCUAGUUGGUAAGGUAACGGCUUACCAAGGCAACGAUGCGUAGCCGACCUGAGAGAGUGAUCGGCCACACUAGAACUGGGACACGGUCCAGACGCCUACGGGAGGCAGCAGUAGGGAAUCUUCCGCAAUGGGCGAAAGUUUGACGGAGCAACGCCGAGUGAGUGAUGAAGGUCUUCGGAUCGUAAAACUCUGUUAUUAGGGAAGAACAAAUGUGUAAGUAACUAUGCACGUCGUGACGGUACCUAAUCAGAAAGCCACGGCUAACUACGUG
rnacentral:rRNA from 1 species